GAUUCAGUAGCUCAGCUGGAUAGAGCAUCCGCCUCCUAAGCGGAAGGUCGUGCGUUCAAAUCGCAUCUGAAUCA
rnacentral:tRNA from 1 species